AUUACAAUCACAUGUGAUUAAUCUUGCAGCCCUAAUUCGAUUCCUUGUUCUUUGUCCUGUAUAAAUGUGUAUCUGUGUAUCAACGGCAAGUGAAGUACCUUACUUUGGAGAAUCUUAUCAAAACAUAUUUUAGCAUCUCUGCUUCCUGUAGGAGAUUCACCAGAUCAACUGACUGACAUAAAGAGGAAAAAGGUAACUUCUGAUUUGUGAAGGUCUUCCUUAACGUUUAUACAUUUAUGGAUUUCAGGAUGGCCGUCCAUGUGCUCUUGUUUCUAACC